UACGAAGGGGGCUAGCGUUGCUCGGAAUCACUGGGCGUAAAGCGCACGUAGGCGGAUUGUUAAGUCAGGGGUGAAAUCCUGGAGCUCAACUCCAGAACUGCCUUUGAUACUGAAGAUCUUGAGUCCGGGAGAGGUGAGUGGAACUGCGAGUGUAGAGGUGAAAUUCGUAGAUAUUCGCAAGAACACCAGUGGCGAAGGCGGCUCACUGGCCCGGUACUGACGCUGAGGCACGAAAGCGUGGGAGCAAACAGG
rnacentral:rRNA from 1 species